rnacentral:rRNA from 1 species
UGCGCAGGCGGUGGCUCAAGUCAGAUGUGAAAUCCCCAGGCUUAACCUGGGAAUUGCAUUUGAAACUAAGUCGCUAGAGUUUGGCAGAGGGGGGUGGAAUUCCACGUGUAGCAGUGAAAUGCGUAGAGAUGUGGAGGAACACCGAUGGCGAAGGCAGCCCCCUGGGCUAAAACUGACGCUCAUGCACGAAAGCGUGGGGAGCAAACAGGAUUAGAUACCCUGGUAGUCCACGCCCUAAACCAUGUCAACUAGUUGUCGGGAGAGCAAUCUCUUGGUAACGCAGCUAACGCGUGAAGUUGACCGCCUGGGGAUACGGUCGCAAGAUUAAA